rnacentral:lncRNA from 1 species
CUGAUUCGCCCCCCACCGUCCUAACCCUAGUCUUAGCUCCAUUGUACAUGUCCUUGAUUACUCUGAUAUAGGCUUCUGGAACACUCUUCGCCUCCAAGCACCUCCCUCGGGACCUUGUCAUACGCCUUCUCCAAGUCGAAAAGCACCAUAUGAAGGUCCUUCUUCUUAUCCCUGAAUUGUUCCACCAUCCGCUUGACUAGGUGAAUCGCCGCUGUGGUAGAGCGACCCGGCAUGAAACCGAACUGGUUCUCAGAUAUAGUGGUCGCCUCCCUCACCCGCGCCUCAAUCACCCUCUCCCAAACCUUCAUCGUGUGACUUAUCAAU